rnacentral:SRP_RNA from 1 species
AGGCAUGGUAUCACAUGCCUGUGAUCCUAACUACCAGGAAAGCUGAAACUGGAGGAUCUCUUGAGUUCAUGAACUCUGGGCUAAGCUGAUGAACUGUCUGCAUCAAAUUUGGCAUCGAUAUGAUAAGCCUCUGAAAGUGGGUGACCACCAGGUUGCCCAAGGAAGGACCCAGGUCAGAAAUAGAGCAGGUCAAAGUUCCCAUGCUAAUUAGUAGUGGGAUUGGUCCUGUACUCCAAAUCCGGACAAGAUGGGGAGACUUAGUCCUU